rnacentral:rRNA from 1 species
GACGAACCGUGCGAACGUUGUUCGGAAUCACUGGGCUUAAAGGGCGCGUAGGCGGGUGUCCGAGUCCGGGGUGAAAGCCCCCAGCCUAACUGGGGAAGUGCCUCGGAUACCGGACGUCUCGAGGGAGGUAGGGGCAGGUGGAACUUCCGGUGGAGCGGUGAAAUGCGUUGAUAUCGGAAGGAACGCCGGUGGCGAAAGCGGCCUGCUGGAUCUCCACUGACGCUGAGGCGCGAAAGCCAGGGGAGCGAACGGG